UACGGAGGGAGCUAGCGUUGUUCGGAAUUACUGGGCGUAAAGCGCGCGUAGGCGGCUUUGUAAGUUAGAGGUGAAAGCCCGGGGCUCAACCCCGGAACUGCCUUUAAGACUGCAUCGCUUGAAUCCGGGAGAGGUGAGUGGAAUUCCGAGUGUAGAGGUGAAAUUCGUAGAUAUUCGGAGGAACACCGGUGGCGAAGGCGGCUUCCUGGACCGACACUGACGCUGAGGCGCGAAAGCUAGGGGAGCAAACGGG
rnacentral:rRNA from 1 species